UACGUAGGGUGCAAGCGUUAAUCGGAAUUACUGGGCGUAAAGCGUGCGCAGGCGGUCUUGCAAGACAGAUGUGAAAUCCCCGGGCUCAACCUGGGAACUGCAUUUGUGACUGCAAGGCUGGAGUGUGGCAGAGGGGGAUGGAAUUCCGCGUGUAGCAGUGAAAUGCGUAGAUAUGCGGAGGAACACCGAUGGCGAAGGCAAUCCCCUGGGCCUGCACUGACGCUCAUGCACGAAAGCGUGGGGAGCAAACAGG
rnacentral:rRNA from 1 species